CUUUGCCAUCUUCAUAUAAGAUACAAUCUUCAUUUUCAUACAAAGCAUUGCUAAUGCCACAUUUUUGAAUGACUGUACAAUGAUUUCCUCCUUCACUGAGUGCCAUGAUGUUUUCAUCCAUUCACAAACUUGAGUGAUAGUGGGCCUCUUCAUUCGUCUAGUAGGUGUUAGAUCACGAUUACCAGCAGCCAUCUAUUUGUUCCACUCUUCUCGCAUAAAAACCUUAAAUGGUUUGUUGAUGGAAAUGUCAAGAGGUUGCAACUGGCUGGUAAGUCCUCCAGGAAUUACAGCUAUAUGAGUUUUCACUUCUUUAAAGCUCUUUUUUUGUAGUUUCGCUAAUAUGUGCUCUAAACUGGUCAAGUUCUAAUAAGGCAGUUUUUUUUCAGAAGCCCUCCAGGACCUUUGGACCACACUUUUUCAACCCAUACUCUCAUCCAUUUUCAUCCAU